rnacentral:lncRNA from 1 species
CGAGCUGGCCAGACACUCCGUCUUUCCCACAACAGCCUCAGUCCCGGCAGCCCCCUCCCCCCGGCCUGGCCUGCCAGCUCAGGGUGAGCCCGGUCGGAUUGUCACUCGACGCCCACUAGUGGCUGAGGAGGCUCCAGUGCGCAGGCUCCGGGCACCGGAUAAAAGCGGAGCUGGCGAGUCCCGCGCUGUCUCGAUGGAGGAGCGAGAAACGCAAGAGGUCGGGGGGAGAAGCCGCAGAAAAAAUUGCAGCCAUCGUCAGCGCCGCCUCCCUGCCACCGUGUAUGGGGUAAAAGCUGCCGUUGCCGCUGCCGGUGCAGUCGCUGCCGCCGCCUCCUAUACUUCUUAGCACCGGGGAAGGAUUCCCCGCCGCGGGACAGUGUGCUGGGCGGGGAGCGGGAGUUCGUUUGUGUGGCGGUGAUUAAACGAGGGAGGGACAGAGCUGGUUUCUCGAACCGAAAAGGGGAGGCCAAGGAACAAAACAGGGUUCUCCACUAAAAUCACACAGCGAUUACGGAUCUGGCUUUGGGGGCCUUUCCCCGGAAUGGCGGUUUCCGUCUUCUUGGCCCGCAGCACGACCUUGGGUGCUCCGUAAGAGGAGUGGGGAGAGGCAGAGGCGGUGUCGGCAGCCAAUCGGCGUCUGGUGAUUUCUGUCGGGCGCGUAGGGAUUGGCUGACGAUGACCUCAUGCUGCAGCAGCGGGUGGGGCCAGAGUCGUCGGGGGUGGCUGUUGCAAAGGCAGAGAGUGAGAAGUGAUGACGGUGAUCGUUGUCGCCGCGUCUUCUGUGGAACCCAAGCAGUGCCGAAGGAAGUCGCAAGGCUCUUCCCCGACCUUUUGCUCCUCUCCCUGCGCGAGGUGAGGGCCCUGGCUCGGCCUCUGCGAGACUUUGGGGCGCUGGUGCGGCCGUGGAGGCGCAAUUUCUCCUGUGACUUUUGUAACUGCGUCAGGGCAAGAUGGCGCUGGGUCUCCUUGGGGCGCGGGGGGAGAGGCACGUCCACCGCCGCCGCAGCGCAUGUGACCGGCUGCAUUCCUGUGGGGUUUGGCGGGGACCCAGGCAGGGCGGGGGAGGGGACCGGGUUUGGGCGGAGGAGAUGGUGGUGCGGUCGGCGUUGGCUGCCCGAAGAGGAAGAGAUGACUGUUUGAAAGCUCUUCCCCUCCCCCACUCCCCGCAGCAGAACUGCUGCGGGGGGGGGGGGAGCCCCUGAAAGGACACUCCUUUCGGGGUGUGCCAGCCACUGGUGGAGGAGAAGGUUUGACGCCUUCUUAUAUCUGCCUUUCUCCUUGCAAAGUAUGCUUACGUAAGGUGGCAGUUCCCUCCUGUAAGCCAACUAGGAGGCCCUGAGUGUCACUGGUAUGGGUAACAAGGACAGGUUAGGCUCUGAAGGCACCACAGGUAGGAGUGUUGAUUAUUUCAGACAAAACAUAAAGUUUGGGGGGUCUGAAUAGAAGACUACAGCAUUCUCAGAGUUUGAAAGCAAGUGAAUAACACCCAGGAACACUUAGGGUUUCUAGGCAGACAGCGAUUAAGGACUGCAUCACAGUCUGAACGGAAGGGCCCUGUCAAACCUUCUCCUUAGAUUCUUUGUGUUCAUUACCCUCCCUGUCUGUACAUCCCGUGAGAGAGUUUAAGUAAUCUUACUGGUGAGGGUUGCCUUUUCAAAUAUAAGUAUUCUUAGUAAUUUUAGUAUUUUGUUCUGUAUGAAACUGAAAGGUCAUUUUCUAUACUUCACGUUGCAUUUUGUCGUCCUUUUAAAAAUAAAAAAUGGAAUUACAAA